rnacentral:lncRNA from 1 species
UUUAAUAGCUGUGCAAAAAAAGGAAUUUCAGCAUACCUAGUCCACAUUAAAAGCUGUACGUGCUGAAAAGCCCUGUAAAAUACCUUGUAAAGCCAUUUAAAGCAUCUGUUAUGGUAAACAUGGCAAUUAGCUUAAUUAUUUAACAUCUUGCCAGGGUAAUCUUUGCUUGGAUACACUGGGAUUAGCGGUGGGGGUAGAAAGAAAAGGAACCCCCGAUAGGGAGUUCCACACUUGCUCUUUCUACUCACUAAUGGGGCAGUUAGAAGUAUAUCAUUAGAACAAACAGUUACAGUUUUGUUUGUUUGAAGUUCGUCAUCCAUUCUCCAAGGUGCUCUAGCAGACACGUUUUUGGCCACUCCAUUGUGCUUCGAUGUCCUGNAACAAUAAAGAAAAAAAAGAAAGCUUUUUCUUUGCUACAAUAUCUGAACUGUAAAAGACUGAGUGGCCACUAGAUGGCAGCAAAUACUUAGUGGUCUACCUUUUCCGUUGCAGAUUCUUCACAAUGCAGAAUUGGGGCAAGAUUCUAUGAGAAACUUGGGAACCUGAGAAGUCUUUGAUUUAAGGCCGCAAAGUGGGAUCAGAGCAAAGCCUCACUCUCUUAGGCUUCUGACAUAACUCAGAAUGGAAAGAGACUUUCAGAGACGGGACACCACCAUGAUAAGGUCUUGGUUCCACUGCAGCCAGAUAGUGGAAAAACUGGAGGAUUGUGACUGGUGAAGGAGUCUUCUAAUGGUGUGUAGCAGGCUCCCCCUUGUGGAAAUCAAUUGGAAUGAAGUUUUCUUGAUUCGAAACAUGU